rnacentral:rRNA from 1 species
GACGAACGCUGGCGGCGUGCUUAACACAUGCAAGUCGAACGGAAAGGCCCUGCUUUUGUGGGGUGCUCGAGUGGCGAACGGGUGAGUAACACGUGAGUAACCUGCCCUUGACUUUGGGAUAACUUCAGGAAACUGGGGCUAAUACCGGAUAGGAGCUCCUGCUGCAUGGUGGGGGUUGGAAAGUUUCGGCGGUUGGGGAUGGACUCGCGGCUUAUCAGCUUGUUGGUGGGGUAGUGGCUUACCAAGGCUUUGACGGGUAGCCGGCCUGAGAGGGUGACCGGCCACAUUGGGACUAAGAUACGGCCCAGACUCCUACGGGAGGCAGCAGUGGGGAAUAUUGCACAAUGGGCGGAAGCCUGAUGCAGCAACGCCGCGUGCGGGAGGACGGCCUUCGGGUUGUAAACCGCUUUCGCCUGUGACGAAGCGUGAGUGACGGUAAUGGGGAAAGAAGCACCGGCUAACUACGU